AGUUUUUUUUUUUUACAGUUCAGUCUUAGCUUGAAUGAGUUGCUAUAUCAUUUAGCUUUUAUGCUCCUUGAUCCUUCAGUCAUCCGCGUUUCUGCUGGGACUCACACUCACCCCAGUUAUUUAUUUUAUUUAUAUUUAGUCUUUCCUAUAUUAGGAUUGAAUGGCUAAAACAUGAAAAAUAGACCACAUAUUAAAAUGUGAAAUGUAUUUUGUCACUGAAUGUCUGCCCUCGUCUUCAGGUGAGAAUAAACGCAAUCGGUCCAUUCAUAUUAUCACCGAUGUAUCCUUGGCUGAUUCUGCCGUAAGGCGUUUGGGCUGGCAGAGGUCUUGCAUCAGUACAAGAUGUAAUGUAAUGUCUUUUAAUAUAUUUAUUUUCCUUUUCUCUCUCUCAGACAAGCAUGAGACCAAGCUGAAAGGGCUCAUUUACUUUCAGGCGAUUGAAGAGGUUUAUUACGAUCACCUACGCAGCGCCACUAAGAGCCCCACUCCAUCUUUGACCUUCUGCGUGAAAACUCACGACCGGCUUUACUAUAUGGUGGCACCGUCCCCUGAGGCCAUGAGGAUCUGGAUGGAUGUCAUAGUAACGGGUGCAGAGGGCUAUACGCAGUUCAUGAGCUGAGGGACCACUGGGUGAGCGAUCUGGUUGAUGUCGGAAACCGAGCGAGCACCCAGACACCUGCGAGCCAACCUGAGCUGCUCCCUGCCGCAGCCGGGACUGGAAUCAAACAGCUUGACAGCGUGUAACGGAUGGACUUUUAAAGGGAUGAAUAACCUUGGGCCAGAUGCCUUUGAGCAGAUGAGGGCUCACUCAUGACAAGGGUGCAUUUCAGUGAUUAUGAGAGUUGUAUUUAUCUUUCACCUAGCUGUGUGAGUAGAAGAAAAAAAACACUUUGAGUAGCCUGCCAGUAGAUUCACGAGGGACUUCUCAGCAACAUCAAUCACAUUCGAGUACCAAAUGUACUGUUAAUAUUUACAAUACGAUACUUUAUUAAUACUUUAUAUAAGCUCAACCUGUUUACACCUUUGAAGCCGAUCUAUGCAUGCAGUUUUAUCACUCUAACCUUUUUGAUACAUUUGUACUUUUUCCCUUUGUUAACUUUUCUCAUAUUACAAAAUAGCCCCUCAGUAUUACAAAACAACAACUAUACAGUAAAAACAACUUACAAGCAGCUACUCUGAAAUAUAUUAUUGAGACGCAUAUUAUCUGGUGCCAAAUACUUGUAAUGCUGUGCAAGAUUUGUUCUUUUUUUGUUACACAAGUGUUAAUACCACUUUAUGUAUUGUUCCAGGAGCUUCUCAUUUAGGCUAAUAACACAGCUUUAAUAUGUCUGUAUUUUACAUAAAUACCCUAUGUCAAGUUAAAUUCUAAUAAUAUGAUUUUAAUAAGAAUCAUAAAUUAUAUAACAGGAUUGUAAAACUACGUGUAAUAAACAAAACUAUAUGAUGUA